rnacentral:rRNA from 1 species
UCGUGAGACCUCAAUACUCUGAAGAUACCAGAUCCUGUCUGAUCUUUCAAGCAAAGCAGGAUCAGCCCUAGUGAGUACUUGGAUGGGUGAACACCAAUAAAUACCAGGUGUUAUAUAUU